AAUCAACGCUGGCGGCGUGCCUAACACAUGCAAGUCGCACGAGAAAGGGCAGCAAUGCCUGAGUACAGUGGCGCACGGGUGAGUAACACGUGAAUGAUCUACCUCCGAGUGGGGAAUAACUGAGAGAAAUCUUAGCUAAUACCGCAUAACACUUACGAGUCAAAGCAGCAAUGCGCUUGGAGAGGAGUUCGCGGCAGAUUAGUUAGNGGCGGGGUAAUGGCCCACCAAGACGAUGAUCUGUAUCCGGCCUGAGAGGGCGCACGGACACACUGGAACUGAAACACGGUCCAGACUCCUACGGAGGCAGCAGUGGGGAAUUUUGCGCAAUGGGGGAAACCCUGACGCAGCAACGCCGCGUGGAGGAUGAAAUCCCUUGGGAUGUAAACUCCUUUCGAUCGGGAAGAUAAUGACGGUACCGAGAGAAGAAGCCCGGCUAACUUCGUGCCAGCCGCCGCGGUAAG
rnacentral:rRNA from 1 species